rnacentral:misc_RNA from 1 species
AACAUCGCGCACCUGCGGGAACCUGCGGAAGGAUCAUUACUGAGUGUAAAAACUCCCAAACCCAUUGUGAACAUACCACUGUUGCUUCGGCGGAUACGCCCCGGGCGCGCUCUUCACAGGGCGUGCCCCGGAACCAGGCGCCCGCCGGGGGACCGAAACUCUUGUUUUCUUAGGAUCUCUGAGUGUGAUUAUUAAAUAAAUCAAAACUUUUAGCAAUGGAUCUCAGAUCGGAAGAGCACA